UGUGCAGUAGUGGCUGCUGCCAAGCCAGGUCUUUAAGUACUGUGAGAUCCUUUAACUACUUCUGCAACCAGUUUCAUUUUAAAUAUGAGUGUGAAGAAAAAAUAAUUAUGGAAAAAAUAGCAUUUGGAAGGGAGGAUACAACCGCAACAGGAGUUGACAUGCCUAGAGUGAAUUUUGCACAGUUUUGCUAACAUGGAUUCCUAGGUCAAUCCCAACUUCAUGGUUUGGGAUCCCACUUGGACUCCAUCAGGAGACCAUGCCUGUACUACUUUCUUGAUGCCAGAGCAAGACUGUUCCACUACUGUCUGCCUGGUAAAGGCAUUCUGUAGUUAAGCCAUAAUACAAAGCAGUGGCUUGUGCACCACUUAAAUAAGGAAUCAUAAAAAGAAAACUGGAAUUCAUAGAAUCUGCUGGAAUUUAUGUUCGUUCUUUCUUGACUGCAAUCUGUGCAAAAAAAAAAAUGAAUAUUACUAUCUUUGGAUUGAUUGUUCUGAUAUACAUCAAGCUCCAGUUCUUCAGAGUCUGACCACCUUGAGUGAUAUAUGUUAAUAACUUGCUUUAGAAUUACACCCAAUAUAAAUAUUG